GUGGUUCAUGGCCGUUCUCAUUUGAUGGAUCGAUUUGCCUAGUUAGUUCCGAUGGCGAACAAGACUUUAACCUGCUAAAUAGUAGACUGGUCAUAUGUGUUCAUUUAGGGCACAACUUCUAUUGCUGCUUUACUAAGGAGUGUGGCCGUGGUCCAGCAGGUGCGGUGCCCGUUUUUACUACUUAGGGGGUCAUAUGGUACACCUAAUUUGCACGAAAUUGGGUAAUAACAGGUCACUGAUGUCC
rnacentral:ncRNA from 1 species